GACGAACGCUGGCGGCGUGCCUAAUACAUGCAAGUAGAACGCUGAAGGAGGAGCUUGCUCUUCUGGAUGAGUUGCGAACGGGUGAGUAACGCGUAGGUAACCUGCCUGGUAGCGGGGGAUAACUAUUGGAAACGAUAGCUAAUACCGCAUAACAGUAGAUGUUGCAUGACAUUUACUUAAAAGGUGCAAUUGCAUCACUACCAGAUGGACCUGCGUUGUAUUAGCUAGUUGGUGGGGUAACGGCUCACCAAGGCGACGAUACAUAGCCGACCUGAGAGGGGGAUCGGCCACACUGGGACUGAGACACGGCCCAGACUCCUACGGGAGGCAGCAGUAGGGAAUCUUCGGCAAUGGACGGAAGUCUGACCGAGCAACGCCGCGUGAGUGAAGAAGGUUUUCGGAUCGUAAAGCUCUGUUGUAAGAGAAGAACGAGUGUGAGAGUGGAAAGUUCACACUGUGACGGUAUCUUACCAGAAAGGGACGGCUAACUACGUG
rnacentral:rRNA from 1 species